rnacentral:rRNA from 1 species
CCCUGGGUUAGUCGGGACCUAAGCUGAGGCCGAAAGGCGUAGGUGAUGGACAACAGGUUGAUAUUCCUGUACUACCGAUAACCGUUUGAGAGAAGGGAUGACACAGUAGGAUAAGCUAAGCACACUGGUGGUUAUGUGUGCCCAAGCAUUGAGGCAGUCAAAGUAGGCAAAUCCGCUUUGAUAAUGCUGGGAUGUGAUGGGGAGCGAAAUUUAGUAGCGAAGUAGCUGAUUUCACACUGUCAAGAAAAGUCUCUAUCGAGGUUAAAGGUACCCGUACCGCAAACCGACACAGGUG